CGCAUCUGUGCAUGCAGCAUAUCAAUAAGCGGAGGAAAAGAAACUAACAAGGAUUCCCCUAGUAACGGCGAGUGAAGCGGGAAGAGCUCAAAUUUGAAAUCUUAAAGGGUUUCCCUUUACGAAUUGUAGUUUAAAGAAGUGUUUUCUGUUGAGGUUUUGGUAAAAGUUCUUUGGAAUAGGACAUCAUAGAGGGUGAGAAUCCCGUAUUUGACCUUUACUUUCAACUUUGUGAUACACUUUCAAAGAGUCGGAUUGUUUGGGAAUGCAGUCCAAAAUGGGUGGUAAAUUUCAUCUAAAGCUAAAUAUUGGCGAGAGACCGAUAGCGAACAAGUACCGUGAGGGAAAGAUGAAAAGAACUUUGAAAAGAGAGUUAAACAGUACGUGAAAUUGUCAAAAGGGAAGCGUUUGACACCAGUGUUGUUUUUCUGAAAAUCAAUUAAAGAACUGUUUAUGCUAAGCUGUUUAGACUUUAUCAGCUAACUAGUUUAGUUUUGAGCUUUUCUUUAAUGCACUUUUCAGUUAACAAGUCAACAUCAAUUUCUUUUGCUGUAAAAAAGCUUGAGGAAGGUGGCUUGAGAUUCGUCUUAAGUGUUUAUAGCCUCUUGCCUAUGCAGUCGGAGAGAUUGAGGUCUGCAGCGUAGAUCCUUCGGGGCUAAAUGCAUUUGUGCUAAGUUAUAGCAUUUUAUAGACAACUUGUUGACUAUGAUUUGUCUUGUAGCUUACCUCGCUUAUGUUAUUUUACCUACGCUUAGGAUGUUGAAUCUGUGCGAGACUAC
rnacentral:rRNA from 1 species